rnacentral:lncRNA from 1 species
UAGUCUGCACCCCUACAGUGAGCGCGAGUACCCAUUAUGCUGAGUUGUUAUGCUGAGCCCGAGGGGAUGAUGUGAGUGUUUCUGAGAGUGAGCCCAAGGGGCUUGUCACACCUCCAUUUUCACUACACCCGCAAGGGCGUACAGGAGUUUUUCCAAUUGAAGGACAAUCUGUAUGUGAUUUGUUUAUUAUUUAUUCAGAGUCGCCACUUGGCAGAUUAAUGGUGUCCCAAGUCACCGAUUUAAUCCCAAACCGAGGAAAAAGAUGACUUUGUUCACAGUCUGCGAACAAGAAAUCCGGAUAAGGAAUUCUUUUAACUCCGGAGAAGGCGUUAGGUAUUCCUGGGUUCCGUCGUUCUUGCACGGUCGCUCAACUAUU